ensembl:lncRNA novel transcript
AGUCUACUCUCCACCAUUUGUCUUCAAAGAGAAUACCCACAUAUUCUCUUUCCAUGGAAAGGGCUUCCGAGGCAAUCGGGCAGCAUCUGUCUUCAGCCGCUAAGCUGAGAAGGAGUCAGUCAGAGAGGCUUGGGCCAGAGUUCCAGGGGCUCUGGGAGUGGCUGCCAGGUUACCUAACCAAACUCCUGCAAAACCACACCAUCUAUGCCUGUGAUGGGGACUAUCUGAAUCUACAGUGCCCUUGGCAUUCUACAGUAUAAAUAUAUUUGUGAUUAUAUAGUUCAAUCCAAGCAAAACUGAUCCAUGAAAAAUCCCAACUUAUACAGAUCACCAGUUUUGUAGUUCCCAAGAACAUACUCACAGUGAUUGAUCCAGCCAUUGCUAAUCUAAAACCUUCUUUGAAGCAGAAAGAUGGUGAAUAUGGUAUCAACUUCGACCCAAGAGAACUGAAGGUUCUGAGGAAAGAUGGAAUUCUUGUUAGCAACUCUCUGGCAGCCUUUGCUUACAUUAGAGAUAGGUCAAUGAAUCAAAGAUUCCUAGAAUGCUGAUGGAUUUACUAAAGUCUUGUUAAUAAAUGUGCUGUUCAAUUAUAACACUCAGAUAACUAAAGGACAAUGACUUCAAGUUUGACAUGCCAACCACCGCUUCUAAGAUUCAGAAACACAGAGGCCUGAGUUCAGGCACAGUCGCAACCAGGCAGUCAGCAAGAGAACCACAUAAACAGACAAAGUCACACUAUUUAGGAGUUGAGCUCCACAGAUAUUCUUCGCUUUUGAAAAGUAGAAACCUGAGGAAUGCAUUUCCCAGCUCUAAAAUUUGGGAAGGAACUAGGAUUAUUGAAUUCCAACCCUGGCUGGAAGAAAAAUGAGCCAGAAGGUCACUCAGUAAACAAGACAGAUGAUGCCCCAUGAAGACAGAACCGCUUUCUGGGUCAUGAGUGUUAUUCCUAAUGGUUGCAAGGAUUCCUUUGUUAGUCUUCCCCAUGAGGAUCAAUCAGACUCAGCCCUCAUGAAUUAACAGAGCCAAAAAGCUUAUACCAAGGCCGGCCACACCUCGGGGACCUCUUCAUUGAGGGGAAGGCAAAAGGUGUCCAAACUAUACAGAUCCACAUAGUCUAACAGAUGUCUCUAUAUUCCUCCUCCUCAAACUCUCAGAGGAUCCAGAACUGCAGCCGGUCGUCGCUGGGCUGUUCCUGUCCAUGUGCCUGGUCACAGUGCUGGGGAACCUGCUCAUCAUCCUGGCCGUCAGCCCUGACUCCCACCUCCACACCCCCAUGUACUUCAUCCUUUCCAACCUGCCCUUGCCUGACAUCGGUUUCACCUCCACCACGGUCCCCAAGAUGAUUGUGGACAUCCAGUCUCACAGCAGAGUCAUCUCCUAUGCAGGCUGCCUGACUCAGAUGUCUCUCUUUGCCAUUUUUGGAGGCAUGGAAGAGAGACAUGCUCCUGAGUGUGAUGGCCUAUGGCCGGUUUGUAGCCAUCUGUCACCCUCUAUAUCGUUCAGCAAUCUUGAACCCAUGUUUCUGUGGCUUCCUAGAUUUGUUGUCUUCGUUUUGUUUUGUUUUGUUUUUCUCAGUCUUUUAGACUCCCAGCUGCACAACUUGAUUGCCUUACAAAUGACCGGCUUCAAGGAUGUGGAAUUCCUAAUUUCUUCUGGGAACCUUCUCAACUCCCCCAUCUUGCAUGUUGUGACACCUUCACCAGGAACAUCAACCUGUAUUUCCCUGCUGCCGUAUUUGGUUUUCUUCCCAUCUUGGGGACCUUUUCUCUUACUGUAAAAUUGUUUCCUCCAUUCUGAGGGUUUCAUCAUCAGGUGGGAAGUAUAAACCUUCUCCACCUGUGGGUCUCACCUGCCAGUUGUUUGCUGAUUUUGUGGAACAGGUGUUGGAGGGUACCUCGGUUCAGAUGUGUCAUCUUCCCCAAGAAAGAGUGCAGUGGCCUCAGUGAUGUACACGGUGGUCACCCCCAUGCUGAACCCCUUCAUGUACAGCCUGAGAAACAGGGAUAUUAAAAGUGUCCUGCGGCGGCCGCACGGCAGCACA